UGUUGGUGGGGUGAUGGCCUACCAAGGCGGUGACGGGUAGCCGGCCUGGGAGGGCGACCGGCCACACUGGGACUGAGACACGGCCCAGACUCCUGCGGGAGGCAGCAGUGGGGAAUAUUGCACAAUGGGCGUAAGCCUGAUGCAGCGACGCCGCGUGAGGGAUGACGGCCUUCGGGUUGUAAACCUCUUUCAGCAGGGACCAAGCGCAAGUGAGUGUACCUGCAGAAGAAGCACCGGCUAACUACGUGCCAGCAGCCGCGGUAAUACGUAGGGUGCGAGCGUUGUCCGGAUUUAUUGGGCGUAAAGGGCUCGUAGGCGGCCUGUCGCGUCGGAAGUGAAAGCCCACUGCUUAACGGUGGGUCUGCUUCCGGUACGGGCAGGCUGGAGUAUGGCAGGGGAGACUGGAAUUCCUGGUGUAGCGGUGGAAUGCGCAGAUAUCAGGAGGAACACCGGUGGCGAAGGCGGGUCUCUGGGCCAUUACUGACGCUGAGGAGCGAAAGCGUGGGGAGCGAA
rnacentral:rRNA from 1 species